UACGUAGGACGCAAGCGUUUGUCCGGAAUUAUUGGGCGUAAAGAGCUCGUAGGCGGUUUGUCGCGUCUGCUGUGAAAAUCCGAGGCUCAACCUCGGACCUGCAGUGGGUACGGGCAGACUAGAGUGUGGUAGGGAGACUGGAAUUCCUGGUGUAGCGGUGGAAUGCGCAGAUACCAGGAGGAACACCAAUGGCGAAGGCAGGUCUCUGGGCCA
rnacentral:rRNA from 1 species